CUGGACCUCCCUGAACCGCGGGCGGUCCUGAGGCUGGACAGCAGAGAAACAAGAAAAUGGAGUCCCUUCUACUGGAGGCCGGAAUGCCAGCCACCCGCCGUGGGUGCCAGAGUUUACAGCCUGUUGGAGGAAGACAGCAGCAAGCCUCGAACAGUGCAUUGAACGGACACAGAAUGAGGCCACAGAAUGAGCUCUGCCUCCGCGCUGCGCCUCUUUGGAGCAGUGCUCAAGAGUGCCACACUCGCCGGACCACAACCGUUCCUGCAGACGGAGGAGCCUUGGAGGGAACAGAAGAUAACAGCCAUUGUGGAAUUUGGGAUUGCAGGACAUCCUUUCACACUCCGGCCGUGACCAAUUUACAGCCAGAGAAGAUCAACCCGUGGCUGUGGGAGCAAGACCUGAAGAAACCGUGGCCACGGCCUGUCUGGGCUUCUGGGGACGUGGGUGGCUGGAGGGACACAUGCAGAUGACUCUGUCUGGGACCCAGCCCCACUUGGCCCCUGUGCAGUACUGACUUGGCUGGCACUCUGAUUCUAGGAGCCUCCCUUCAGGAAUGCCUGCAUUGGUCGAUUAUCCGCCAUAUGUCUGUCUGGUCCCUGCAGAAUACAAAAAGAAAGUAGCCUUCCGCAGUGGCUGAGCCGGGGCCCACUGGAUGCUUAGUAAGGAGCCCAAGGCCACAAGUUGAGGCGCUGGCUCCCUGCCCUAGGGACUGGUGCUCUCUGAGGGUACAGACCAUGUUUUAUUUCCCCAGUCUGGAAUGAGCCCUGGAUGACAGUUAAUAAACACCUG